CCUACGGGAGGCAGCAGUGAGGAAUAUUGGUCAAUGGCCGAGAGGCUGAACCAGCCAAGUCGCGUGAGGGAAGACGGCCCUACGGGUUGUAAACCUCUUUUGUCGGGGAGCAAAGCGAGUCACGUGUGACUCAUUGAGAGUACCCGAAGAAAAAGCAUCGGCUAACUCCGUGCCAGCAGCCGCGGUAAUACGGAGGAUGCGAGCGUUAUCCGGAUUUAUUGGGUUUAAAGGGUGCGCAGGCGGAUGUGAAAGUCAGCGGUAAAAUUGUGGGGCUCAACCUCGUAUUGCAGUUGAAACUUGAACCCUUGAGUGCGCGAGAGGUAUGCGGAAUGCGUGGUGUAGCGGUGAAAUGCUUAGAUAUCACGAAGAACUCCGAUUGCGAAGGCAGCAUACCGGCGCGCAACUGACGCUGAUGCACGAAAGCGUGGGUAUCGAACAGGAUUAGAUACCCCAGUAGUC
rnacentral:rRNA from 1 species